rnacentral:tRNA from 1 species
GGGGUUGUGGCUCAGUGAUUGAGCACUCACCUAGCAUGUGUGAGGCCCUGGGUUCGAACCUCAGCACCA